UACGGAGGGUCCAAGCGUUAUCCGGAAUCAUUGGGUUUAAAGGGUCCGCAGGCGGGCAAUUAAGUCAGGGGUGAAAUGGUGCGGCUCAACCGUAGCACUGCCUUUGAUACUGGUUGUCUUGAGUUAUGGUGAAGUGGCCGGAAUAUGUAGUGUAGCGGUGAAAUGCAUAGAUAUUACAUAGAACACCGAUUGCGAAGGCAGGUCACUAACCAUUAACUGACGCUGAUGGACGAAAGCGUGGGGAGCGAACGGG
rnacentral:misc_RNA from 1 species